rnacentral:rRNA from 1 species
ACAAGCAGCGGAGCGUGUGGUUUAAUUCGAUGUUACACAAGAACCUUACCAGGGUUUGACAUAUAAGUAGUAGGGAACUGAAAAGGGACCGACCCUUCGGGAGCUUAAACAGGUGCUGCAUGGCUGUCGUCAGCUCGUGUCGUGAGAUGUUCGGUUAAGUCCGCUAACGAGCGCAACCCUCGCUGUGUGUUACAAGUGUCACACGGAACUGCCGGUCAUAAACCGGAGGAAGGUGGGGAUGACGUCAAGCCAGCAUGGCCUUUAUAUCCUGGGCUACACACACGCUACAAUGGGAAGGGACAAUAGGUAGCGAAGCCGCGAGGUGGAGCCAAUCCAGCAAAACUUCCCUCAGUUCAGAUUGCAGGCUGCAACUCGCCUGCAUGAAGUUGGAGUUGCUAGUAACCGCAGGUCAGCUAUACUGCGGUGAAUACGUUCCCGGGGCUU